ensembl:lncRNA
UUAUGACUCCAGUGGCGGAUGUAUGUAACAGCAGCAUACUGAAUGAAGAGGAAAUGCUCUAUCGUUUGCAAUAAUCGCCAAGACACGAUCUGCGAUAAUGGCUACCAAUCACUCUUGUCUACCCUGCACUUUUGUUGCGAUAUCUGGAGACAACUUCUAUUUUCAAGUUAACGACGAUGAAACAGAUUUGCAGUGUGAUUCAUAUCAAAUAGCCACAACAUCCAAGGCCAAGCAUUGGCUCCGAGUCCAAGACAACUGCUUUCUCUCAGUUACUGGAGAACAGUGUCACUUUGUGCAUUUAAACGAGGAGGAAGAAGGACCUGACUGUCAGUUCAUCGUUCAACCGUUCAACGAGACCCCGGACUCCCCCCACUCUGAGGCUAGAGGAAGGGCCGUCACCCUGGCUGUUAGGGAGGAGAGCAAGUACAAGGUGGUGUCCUGUCGGGAGGGCAGCAACGACAUCAAGGUGGAGAUCAUGAAUAAACUUCCAGAGACAGUCGGCGACACUGACUGCUGGUUCUUGUUCUACAUGAAGGACUGUAUUGGGAGGAGUGGGCACUACCUGUUCGUGUCCGCUGCCAAGCCGAAAUUCGCCCUGGCCAUCGAACCGGAACAAGGGACUACCCGAAUAAACAAACUAGUGUUGCGACAAUUAGAUGAUGAGGUGGACGAGGGCUGCCACAUUGCAGUGCCUGAAGUGCGUCGGUCUGUAAAUGCAAAUAAAUAGAUGAUAAAUAAAUGUGAAGUGUUAUUUGUUCCCUAGAAUCCCUUGUACAUUUUGCUAUCGAUGAGCACCUGAUACUUGUUUUUGCCUUGCCUGCGCUAAUUGUUGCCAGCGACUCCACUGACAGAUCACAGUCCAGAUGUGCUUCUUCUUGCCUUGUGCCACAGCGCCACGCGUCCAUAUACAUGGCAAGCGGUCAAGGCUUGGGAAGGCAAUGCUCAUCAUUUGCCUUUGCUUGAUUCCUUGCUCCAAUGUCCUGUUGAUGGCCUUUGCUACCCAUCCACAUAAAACAAGGUGUGCUGUAACCCAGGAGCCAAAAUGUACUUACAUUGAUGGCAAACACCAAGCAGGCCGAGAAGAAUAUUGAGUACUUCAGGAUUCAUUAAUCUAUCACAAGUAGUCAAGAAGCCUACAAGAAUAUGCCGUAAAGCUGAUCGAGUCAAAUCCUCAACUUGUAUUGAUCUAAUAUUUACAAAUGUUUCGGAGCUGUGUUCAAAAGUAAUUUCCAUUCCCAUAGGCUGCAGCGACCACAACCUUAUCGCUAUUGGAAGAAAGACGAAAAUACCCAAGCAGGGUCAGAAAGUUAUUUUCAAACGAAUCUUUAAAAACUUUAAUGAAUAUAACUAGUGUAAUGAAGUAAGAGAGGUUGACUGGUCUGAUGUUAGACAGAAGGAAGACCCUGAUCUUGCUCUGCGUGCGUUUGACAGUUUAUUACUCCCAAUCGUGAAUAAACAAGCUCCUGUCAGGAAGUUAACGGUGCGAAACACACCAUGGGGCCCUAUUUUAACGGUCUGAAACGCAAGUGGGAAGCGCAAAGCGCAAGUAGCUUUGUGGGCGGUUCUACGGCGCUAUCGCUAUUUUACAGGCGGAUAAAUGACACUUGCGUCGCGGCGCAAGUGUCAAAAGGGUUGGUCUGAAGCAGCCUAGUUACCCGUAGGUGUGGUUUGGGCGUAACGUCCAACAAACCAAUGAGAGUGCCAGCUCCCAUCCCCUUUAAGAGCCAUGAGCGCAUUUGAAUCGGACGAGUUGAUAUUUUGACAGCGCGUCGGCAGUCUCCGAUGAGACAGAUGCACAUGAAUUUGAAACUGCAAAUGGCUCAGUUUAUUGCCAAAUAAUAUGGCCUAAUUCACACAUGGAAUAAGGGGUUUUCUUCACCAACUUCAGAAAUACUGAGUCCUCAAAUAAAUUUCGGCAAAGAAACGUAUAUGAUAUAACAUAUGAUAUGCGGUAACUGUGGUUCUAUUUAAUGAUAUACGUGUGGCAAUAUGUAGUUUGUUGUCAUGGUGACUGUCAGCUGUGCGGCAGUCCCAGCCAAUCACGGUGGGAGACUAUCUAUAAAGGCGGGCGUAGAGCGCCUGUCGGCAUCUUGCUUGCCGCAGGCUGGGUCACGUUGCGCCUGGGCGUCCAUUUCCGCUUCCGUGCGGUGACAGGCUCUUGCUUGCCGGAGGCUGGGACACGUAGCUCCUGUGCGUCUAUUUCCGCUUCUGUGCAGUGAUAGGGCUCACUUGGAUGUUGCUGCUGGCUGCGCGCUGCUCAUCGAUACAUAGCCGAUGCCGCCUACUGAACUGUCGCUUUUGUAUAGCGUCCCGUUCCCUGCUCCACGUCACGUUGGCCGGGACUGCCCGAUUGGGUGGCCGACAGUAGCGGCGCAGCGGCGGCCAAUCCACCUGUAAAAACCACUGCUGCUUUGCUUGCACGUUAUUACCGCCUUGCCAGGGCCAGCUCGGACCCGAUCGCUUUGCCGUUCAUUCGGCUAGCGAUAGUUUGUUCCUUUUCCUGUUGUGUCGCUAUCUCUUUUGUUUAGUUGGUGCCACUACAUAUUAAAGUGUGUAUGUUAUGUAAGAGUUUUUGCUGAUUUCUCCUUGUUUACUUAUAGUUUUUGUUUAUUUAAUUAAUUUCUCUUAUUAUUAUUUUGUUUCCAUUAUGUUUUCUAACUGGUUGCUCUGCGAUCCCCCUCAAUUCAGGUGCUGAGCCUACGGUGGUGGACUGGUGUCCUGGUCACGGUGUCCCUUUUGUAUUGUGUUUGCAUUUGGUUUAUUUUUCAUUUGUUUUACGUGUGGUGUUCCUGGGACCCCCUUUCCUUUGGAUGCAGGUGUUCACAGUAGGUCUCAGCACUGAUUGGAUCUCAGCACCCAAUUUCCCUCCUUAGUGAGUAAUUCUCUAGUUUUAAGAACAGACAUUUUGUAUAAAUAAAAGUAUUUUUGUAUGAUUGAACAGAUCGUCUCUGCCUCAUUGCAUAACGGACCUCAGUGCCUUUCCUUCAUUUGUGCUAGUCCACUUAAAAUAAAUCUCUGGGUGAAAUUCCCAGGGUGGCGUUGUCUGGCAAUAAUUAAUGCUACCGAUACUGCCUUAAGAAAAGGGGCAUCACUCCAUAGCUCGUGCUGCC